UCUAGUGAUGAUAGCGAAGAGGUCACACCCGUUCCCAUGCCGAACACGGAAGUUAAGCUCUUCAGCGCCGAUGGUAGUUGGGGGUCUCCCCCUGUGAGAGUAGGACGUCGCUAGGC
rnacentral:rRNA from 2 species